GGGGUCUUCCCUAUUUGUCUUUCUUCUCUCUUUCAUUCUCUUUGUGUAUUUCCAUGCCAAACUUAUUUGCGGCUGGUUGUGGUUAAUCACUUUUAUGCCCGAUUCGAGGAUGAAAGCAUCGAGGAUGAUCCAACCGACAGAAUAGCAAGAACACUAGAUAAUAUCAUAAAAGCGAAGAAAUGCCCAAAAUUUUUGAAGAACUGUAAGGUGAUAUCGCCAAAACCGCCACGAAUGUUCACCUUCAUAAAGACGCAUAAGACACCAGUUGAAAUUAGACCCGUGGUUGAAAGGAGGGAAGCCCCCACAUACUUGGUCGAAAAAGCACUAGCAAAAUGGGCCAGGGAGAGGCUAAAAGAAUAUCAAUGGUCUUUAACAUCAACUAUGCAAUUUAUAUACGCACUAUACGAGAAGGGUCCUAACCCGGAGGAGAACCUGGAGGUAUACAACUAUGAAGCGCUUUACCCAUCUAUUAAAUUGGAACCGGCCUGCAUACUAUUAUAUAGACUGUUAUUAGAAAACCUAGAAGAAGAAAC
rnacentral:lncRNA from 1 species